CAGGCUCAGAGAGCUGGAGUUAUUCCAUCUGGAGAAGAGAAGGCUCCAGGGAGACCUGCAAGCAGCCUUUCAGUAUCUGAAGGGAGGCUAUAAGAAAGAAGGGGACAGACUCUUCAGCAGGGUCUGUCAUGACAGGACAAAGGGAAAUGGUUUUAAACUAAAAGAAGGGAGAUUUAGACUGGAUAUUAGAGAAAAUGUUUUUUAUAGUAACAGUGGUGAGGCACUGGGACAGGUUGACCGGAGGGGCGGUGGAUGCUCUGUCCUUGGAUACAUUCAAGGUCAGGCUGAGUGGGGCUCUUAGCAACCUGAUCUAGCUGUAAGUGUCCCUGUUCAUUGUAGGGCAUUUGGACUAGAUGGCCUCUAAAGGUCUCUUCCAAUUCAAAUGAUUCUAUGAUUCAAUGAUUCUAAAUCAGCUAUAGAACAAAAGGCAGGACAGUUCAUGGUGGGAGUGUGGACACGCACACGAAGAACUGAUGCUGAUGGGCACAUCCAAUACCCUUUGGGACACUGGAGGAGAAUCCUGGGUGAGCUGCUGGACUCUCCAUCAGCUUUCAGCCUACUGAAACUCCUUGUCAAUUACUGUCCCUUUCUGAAGUCACGAAAUACUGUCAGCAACAUUUUAGAGAUGGGAAAGAGGGACCCUGAGGACUGAAUUCACAAGAGCUGAAUCUGAAACACAACCAACUUCCAUGCCAGUUGUGACUUGCCCUAGAUUAUGCACCAUCCAACUGACAAGUGACCGGGGGCCUCCUGCAGCCAAGUCCUACAGAUUUCUUCUGACAAAUUUUCCUGCUAAGAAGGCAAGUGUGGGAAGAAAUACUGAUGACACGUGCUUCUGAUGGAGUCAGUGGUGUCCAGGAGCAGGAUGCAGCUGCACAACCACGCCCUUUUAAUAGCUCUUUUUAAAUGCACUGCUAAGUUUUUUUUCCAGCAACUGACAGCCAUAGUAACAUGCAACCACUUCAGGGUGCAUGAUUUACUGAGAUGAACAGAGAAAGGUGGGUGGCCCUUAAUCCACACCUGCAGACUCCCUUGGGAACCAGUAAAGCUAAAGUACUUCAUCUUCUGGGAAGUCUGAUUUUGAGUGCAGCUGGUGUCAUCUCAGUGGAAACUGGAACGUCACGUUGUCAUCAGACCUGCAAAGUGAUGCCCAAACUGUUACCAGGUGUAUUUAAGAAGGGCAUUUGUGAUGGGACAUAACUUGGAACAAGCUAAACGUGGAAAAAAGAAAAGUCUUUUCAGAGAAGCUACGGGAGGAU
ensembl:lncRNA